rnacentral:rRNA from 1 species
GACGAACGCUGGCGGUGUGCUUAACACAUGCAGGUCGAACGGAAAGGCCCUGCUUUUGUGGGGUGCUCGAGUGGCGAACGGGUGAGUAACACGUGAGUAACCUGCCCUUGACUUUGGGAUAACUUCAGGAAACUGGGGCUAAUACCGGAUAGGAGCUCCUGCUGCAUGGUGGGGGUUGGAAAGUUUCGGCGGUUGGGGAUGGACUCGCGGCUUAUCAGCUUGUUGGUGGGGUAGUGGCUUACCAAGGCUUUGACGGGUAGCCGGCCUGAGAGGGUGACCGGCCACAUUGGGACUGAGAUACGGCCCAGACUCCUACGGGAGGCAGCAGUGGGGAAUAUUGCACAAUGGGCGGAAGCCUGAUGCAGCAACGCCGCGUGCGGGAUGACGGCCUUCGGGUUGUAAACCGCUUUCGCCUGUGACGAAGCGUGAGUGACGGUAAUGGGUAAAGAAGCACCGGCUAACUACGUG